AGAAUCAACGCUGGCGGCGUGCCUAACACAUGCAAGUCGAACGAGAAAGUGGAGCAAUCCAUGAGUAAAGUGGCGCACGGGUGAGUAACACGUGACUAACCUACCCUUGAGUGGGGAAGUAACUUCGGGAAACCGAGGCUAAUACCGCAUAAUACCUACGGGUCAAAGGAGCAAUUCGCUUAAGGAGGGGGUCGCGGCAGAUUAGUUAGUUGGCAGGGUAAUGGCCUACCAAGACGGUGAUCUGUA
rnacentral:rRNA from 1 species